AUAUUCAACUAGUGGACUAUAGAAUGAAUUAGUGACAGAAAUAUGGGAAAAAGGGCUAAUCAAAAAUUUAGGCAAUGAUUAAUGCUGGGAAAAACAAAAAGUUGUUCAAAAGAGAAACAUGUAAUUGUGUAUUUCUUUGAUUUAAAAUAUACAUUUUAAUUAGAAACAAAUAUAUUCAUCAAGGAGCAGAAUCUGCCCAGUGAUUCCAUUCCUUUUCUUUCUUUUAAAUGCUUGAUCAUUGUUUUCUUAUUUUAGAUAUUAUUUCAUCCAUUGAUGAUGGAAAAAAAGCAUUUAGCUGAGCAUGGUGGUGCACGCAUGUAGUCCCAGCUGCUUAGGAGGCUGAGGCAGAAAGAUCACGUGAGCCCAGGAGUUCGAGGCUGCAGCGAGCUAUGAUUGCACCACGGCACUCCAGCCUGAAUGAGAAUUGAUUUCUAUAAUUAUAUGGAAGCAUGUGAAAACCCUACCAUUUCCAAGGAUCUGACCAACAAUUACAGCAGGAAAUGUGGUCAUCUAAUUUAACUCUUAAACAUCAUCAGCAAGACUAAAAGCUUGGAUGCAUCCCAAUUAUCCCCACAAAUUAAUGGUGUGGUAUCAAGAAUAAUCCACAACACUUCCACUUAGCUUUGGGAUUCAUUCUAUUUUUUGGUUUGCCGUAGAUUCCAAUUAACAUUUUGGUUUAUUCAGGCUGAUUUUAAAAUAUGUUGACUUAAUUACAUACUCAAGCCAUCUAGUCUACAAAUAUGCCUAGUUAGAUAAAAGAGAUAAUAUUCUUGAAUUUGACAUAGUCCUUGAAUUUCUAAGGGCUGUUUUACACUGAGACCUAGUUACAUGGUCAUAUGGUUUAUCCGUGUCCCCACCCAAAUCUCAUCUUGAAUUAUAGCUCCCAUAAUCCCCACAUGUUGUGGGAGGGACCUGGUGGGAGGUAAUUGAAUCAUGGGGGUGGGUUUUCCUGUGCUGUUCUCAUGAUAGUGAAUAAGUCUCACGAUAUCUGACGGUUUUAUAAAGAGGAGUUCCCCCGCACGAGCUCUCUUGCCCCGUGAGACGCCUGUAGACCCAGCUACUUGGGAGGCCAUUGCUCCUCCUUAGCCUUCUGCCAUGAUUGUGAAACCUCCCCAGCCAUGUGGAACUGUGACUCCAUUUUUCUUUAUAAAUUACACAGUCUCGGGUAUUUCUUCAUAGGAAUAUGAAAAUGGACUACUAUGCAUGGUAACAACAGAGAACUCUGUGGUGUCUGCCCAGCUCAUAAUUCCUUCUCCUCUAAGAACAGCCCUCCAUUCUACCCCCUGGGUAGAAGCCAUGUUUUAGUCACAUAACACCAUUGCCUAGAACUCAGCUAAGUGCACAAUGGCUGAGCACCAGAACCAAAUUGAGCCAAUCAGAGCCCCUUCUUAGGAAUUUACAGUUGUGACUGAAAGUAAAAUCUCAAUGACAGUUCACUUAUACAGACACUAUAUUAACUUGAGAACUGAGGCUCAGCCAUUGUCUUAGGAGUAGAUGAGUAAUACAGAUAUAUUUGCAAAGACAUUUGAAGAGAAAAAUGGAGGACAAAAUAAAGAAAGCCUGUUUUCUGGGCUCCUCAUGGCUCUCCAUCUCUAGUCCCUUUUGAGUCACGGCUCCAUCUCUGCUGCUGGCUUCCAGAAUACAUUCAUGUCUUCUUUCAUUAUCUUAAAUUCUCCCUUCCUGCUUAGACUAAUUAAAAUUGAUUUCUGUUAUUAUCAACAAAAAGAAUCCUGCUAAAUAGGCUUUUUUUUGUAACUGAAUUGAAAAUUAUAGCUUGCUUUUUUUUUUUUUUUUUUGCAUUAACUUGUAGCUUAACUAUACAGAGAAGUGGCUUGGCACCAGAGACUUCAGAUAACUAAAACAUGAUUCAUAUUGAGGAUAUUUUAUCUUAUUUUCUGCACCAGUCUCUAGUUCUAUAAAGCUUAAGCUUUACUGUAUAAUGAGAAUGAUACACUGAAUUUAUGAGGUUAAAUGGAGGGUCACAGCAGUGGAACUUUUUAUUGUAAUGUACAACUGCAUUCCUGAAUCAGGCACAGGUUAAUACAUAAUAAUUAUUCUCUGGAAACAAUGGCAAAGCAUUCCUAGCAACAGACAAAUCAAAUAGCUACUGGAGUAUUAUGGCUGUCAUUUGUUAAUUACUCCCAGAUAGCUGCAAAACACACAUGCUCUUCGGCAAAAACUGAAACCCCAAACCCCUUAGAGAAAAAAGGAGGAUCAGGUGCUACAAUGCAAAGAGCACCAAAAUGGGUGUCUGCUGAUGUGAACCCAUCUUUGCAACUAUCUUCACUUCUGUGAAUUUUAGCUUCUUCAUCUCAUUUGAAAUACAGAAAAUUCAGCAUGAGAUCCAAAGGCCAAAAGUAGCUCAAUAGACCAUGUGCUAAGUCCUUCUUUUUCUGAACAUGUUGUUAAACAUUUUAUGCCCCCAUUUCCUCAACUGUAUAAGGGAAAUGCUACUUGUACCUACCUCAUAUGGUGGUUGUGGGGUAGUUAUUACAUAGUAAGUGCUUGGAAGAGUAGCACAUAGGAGUACUCAAUUAAUGACAGCUAUAUUGGUUUUUUAUUUUUUUAUUAUUCCUGAGGAUUUUUUUUAAACAGGCUAACUAGUUAUGAGCAUCUCACUGGUAUAUUUACUUUGACCAUUGCCAACUAUAUAUUUCAUGUAGCUUGUUAAACAAAUUUAUAACUGUAACCAAAGCUAAAUAUAUGUAAUGAUGGUAUUUUAAGACAUUCAAGUUAAAUUCCACUAAAAGUAAAUCACUAAACUGGGGUGACAUAAAGCAUGAUUGAAUAAGGAAGAAUGGGUCUGAAGAAAGCCUGCCGAUAGCAUCUGAUUCAUUUUUGAAUCAUGGCCAAUUUUUAUGCUACAAGAAUAGCUUUCCAUGUUGCCUUUACACUUCUGGAUUUCAUAUCAUGAGGGUAAAUUGCUGAAAAUGUACACACAAAAGAAAAAGAACAUAAAAAACAUAUACAUAUUCUAUUUGUUUGAGUUCUAAUGUUGCUUUCAGGUCAGACAUUCUGGAUUUUCAUGGUUUUGGCUUCAGAAAAUUCUAAGUCUAGAAAGCAGCUGUUUCUAUGGGUAUCCCAAAGAAGAAAACUGCUACAUGAAACAAGAGCAAACUGUGGUCUCAUCUGCACAUUUGCAGAGUAGCAUCAGAUCCAUGGAGAUGCUGCUCACUGAAAAAGUAACACCCAUUGUGUUGGACCUCACCUACGUGACCUUUCCGGGGCAUAGUCUGGAAGGACAUGGAAAAUUAAAAGAGAAGUUAAACACUGCACAAUUAAGUGAGAAGAACUUUGAAUCUCAAUGAAUAACUCAGGCAAGACAAUAGGAAGAGAAUGGAGAUAAGGAGAAGGUAUGAGCUACAAGAAGGAAGGUCAGCCCUCCGCCAAACCAGCAAGAUAUUCCCUGUGGUGAAGAAUGGCUGAUGAAUUUCAGCACAAAGCUAUCUAAUGUUCAGUUUCAAGUUGCUAUCUACAUGAUGCUAUGCCAUCAUCCCUCCAUUACUGCAAAGCUUCAGUAAAAGAGAGAAAGAAAGUUAACAGCAGAAAUGAGGAGCAAUAUUUAGGAAGCAUAACGGGGCAUAAAGACAUGUAAACUCUACAAAAUUACACAGGUGAGACUUUUCGAUAGCAAUAUCUUAUUUCAAUUUUAAAAUUCAGGCUCAGACCAGAAAGUGAGGGUACUUGGGGUCACCCACACAACUGACACUUGGGUGACAUAUGUAUUCCUACACAAUGGAGAAAUACCUCUUCUACAUGAUGGCAAAUAUCCCUGUGAGUGUUAUCUCCUUAUCUUUCACUUUAUCUUACCAUUGUCUGGUUUGUUUAGCUCCUACUUGGGGCCUAUUCCGUACUAUUGUGUCCUCCUCAUUUAUUAUGGUUACAUUCCGCUUCUUAAACAAUUAUGUCUACUAUAGCUCCAUGUUUAUGUAAAACAGUGACUGUGUACUGAUGUUUAGUCACAAUAAAAGUAGCCCAUACAAAGUAAAAAAGAGUUGGAUUUCAAAGGACAAACACAAUUUAAGACUUUUUCCCUUUGACAUUGAUUUCUUUCGGUACGUCAGCCAAUACAUAAAAACAUGUCCACCUUAUCAAG
rnacentral:lncRNA from 1 species